GGGAAAGAGUAAAAGGAAUAUUAUUAGAAGCAUAUAAAGUUGAAAGAAGACGUUUAUUGGCAAGGGUAGUACAGUUUAAGAGAAGAUGCUCCCAUUUAAUGCUCUGAAUUGCAGAUAAAGAGGCCAUUAUGGAGAGUACAAAAAGGAGAAUCAUUAAAGGAUAAAUAGUAGAGUAUGCAGGGAGGCGAUUAAGCUCGAUAUCUUCGGGAAAGGAUUAUUUUGUGGAACCAGGGAAAGGGUAUGAUAGAAGGGCAGAUAAAGCGAAAAGGGGCAGCAAAAACCGGGUAAAUUUACCCAUUUACGAUACCACCACAUAGAGGCUUGUGUUCAAAGAACUGGGAGAAAGUCUGAAUAGGUAAGGGAUUUUAAUUGGAGAAAAGAUAAAGUAAAAACAUGACAUAGCAAGAUGGUCUGCAAUUUCAUUACUUAGGAUAUCUAGAUAGCUAGGAACCCAAAAACAAAUGGAUCAUGUACCCAAUAUUGUAUAGGGAGGGAGGAUCAAAUGAAUUUGAAGUACGUGAUAGCGGAUAUAAAAGGGAAAGAGUUUAAAGCCGUGAGACACA